GGUUUUAAAGUGGACCAACACUUUGAAGGGCCUGCAUAUAGAUAUAUAUAGAUAUAUAUCUAUAUGCAGGCCCUUCAAAGUGUUGGUCCACUUU